UUUCACCUGGCCACACUGCAGCUUUCUAGAUUCAAUGGUGAAUUCUACAACUUCAAAUAUUUUCAUUUCUUUGUGUGUUUGUCAUUUCUGAUAUCGAUUCAGCUUUGUUUUUGUUUCAUUUUUUUUUCUCUUUUCUCCAGCCCAAUCUGCUGGACGUGUCUUAAUUACCUGCAUUUCAUAGUUCCUAUAUUGUUUUGUCUAUGUUCUUUCUUUCUAACUGCUUCCAUUCACUUAUUGGCCAGGUAACCUUGUUUAUAUUAACCCAUGAUUACCCUGGUUUUACCACAUCAGACAUAUUCCCCCCUAUCCCCACACCAUUCCUGUGACUUAACAAGCUUCAUUUCUCUCCGACCCACUUCUGACAAAAACUCAUCAACACCAAGCAGAUGUGAACCAACCCGCUGGGUAUUUCCAGCAUUUUUUCUGUUUCCCUUUUAGAUUUUUAACAUCCACAUUUUUUUCUUCAUUUUGUUCAUUUGUGAUGUCUGUCUCUUUAUCUGAACAUUUCCUUUAGUGGGUAAGCAAUUCAAGAACAAUCAUGUCUUCCAUGGUCCUGUUAUAAACGUAUUUUUAGCCAUUCAGUCAAGUUGAUUCAGCAAUCAAGUGGUAGCCAAUGAGGGAAGUUACACAUGGAGUGAAUAAACUAAACAAAAUCUUAGAUCAUUGUGAGCUUACUGAAACACAUCCACUAGCUUCUAGGAAGUUAUUUGGGGGAUUUCUUUGGCAUAUUUUUGCAUCACAUUAGUAACGGAGUUAAUAUUUCAUUAGUAUUUAGCCACUUUGAGAUAUCCACUCAACAACUGAAAGUCUCUCUUUUACAGCCCAGCAGGAAAGUCCUGAAGAGGGAACUAAACGACGAGAGAGGUUUCUCUUGGAACUUCCAUAAGAAUCAAAUUUGGAAAGCAUUUCAGAAAACAUGUCUAUGCUGACUAAUUCUGUUGCUCAAAAGAAACAUCAAGGGCCUCUGUGUGAUGAUGCUUAAGGCAAAUAAAGACAUGAAGAUUGCACUUUAAAUUGAUGAUGGGAGAAGGAACAUGGACUGUAUAAAGGAUCACACUCUUGUCUCCAUAAGUUCGGGGAGGUCGUGAUGGAGGACUUGUUUGUUCCUUUGUAGUUCUGGGGCUGGACUGGUCUUCAAGGACUGAAUGGUGAGCAAGAAGUUUCAUAGCAGCACCACACUGGGAAGAAUCGAUUGCCACAAACGUCCAACUAGAGAUACAGUUGGAGAAUAUGGUCCAUGGUCCCU